rnacentral:rRNA from 1 species
GGAGGAAAAGAAACUAACAAGGAUUCCCCUAGUAACUGCGAGUGAAGAGGGAAGAGCUCAAAUUUUGAAUCUGGCAGUCUUUGGCUGUCCGAGUUGUAAUCUAGAGAAGUGUUUUCCGCGCUGGACCGUGUAUAAGUCUCCUGGAAGGGAGCGUCGUAGAGGGUGAGAAUCCCGUCUUUGACACGGACUACCAGUGCUAUGUGAUGCGCUCUCGACGAGUCGAGUUGUUUGGGAAUGCAGCUCAAAAUGGGUGGUAAACUCCAUCUAAAGCUAAAUACAGGCGAGAGACCGAUAGCGAACAAGUACCGUGAGGGAAAGAUGAAAAGAACUUUGGAAAGAGAGUUAAACAGUACGUGAAAUUGCUGAAAGGGAAACGCUUGAUGUCAGUCGCGUUGGCUGGGGAUCAACCUUGCUUCUCGCUGGGUGUACUUCCCGGUCGACGGGUCAGCAUCAGUUUCAGUCGCCGUACAAGGGCGAGGGGAACGUGGCACUCUUCGGAGUGUGUUAUAGCCCUUCGUCGUAUGCAGUGGUUGGGACUGAGGAUCUCAGCACGGCUUCUUGCUUGUGCUCAGGAUGCUGGCAUAAUGGCCUUAAGCGACCCGUC